CAGCAGCAGCCGCGGGAACACGUAGGUGGCAAGCGUUGUCCGGAAUUGUUGGGCGUAAAGGGCUCGCAGGCGGUUUCUUAAGUCUGAUGUGAAAGCCCCCGGCUCAACCGGGGAGGGUCAUUGGAAACUGGGAAACUUGAGUGCAGAAGAGGAGAGUGGAAUUCCACGUGUAGCGGUGAAAUGCGUAGAGAUGUGGAGGAACACCAGUGGCGAAGGCGACUCUCUGGUCUGUAACUGACGCUGAGGAGCGAAAGCGUGGGGAGCGAACAGGAUUAGAUACCCCUGUAGUCCCUGUCUCUUAUAC
rnacentral:rRNA from 1 species